GCUUUUCAGUCGGGCGCUGAGUGGGUUUAUCGGAUCAUGUCUAGUGGCUCCGCAGAUUAUAACAGAGAACAUGGCGGCCCAGAGGGAAUGGACCCCGAUGGUGUCAUCGAGAGCAACUGGAAUGAGAUUGUUGAUAACUUUGAUAUGAAUUUAAAGGAGUCUCUUCUUCGGGGCAUCUAUGCUUACGGUUUUGAGAAGCCUUCCACUAUUCAGCAGAGAGCUAUUAUUCCCUGUAUUAAAGGGUAUGAUGUGAUCGCUCAAGCUCAGUCAGGUACUGGCAAGACAGCCACAUUUGCUAUUUCCAUCCUGGAUUGAGUUCAAGGAGACCCAAGCACUAGUACUGGCCCCCACCAGGGAACUGGCUCAACAGAUCCAAAAGGUAAUUCUGGCACUUGGAGACUAUAUGGGAGCAACUUGCCAUGCCUGCAUUGGUAGAACAAAUGUUUGAAAUGAAAUGCAAAAACUGCAGGCCGAAGCACCACAUAUUGUUGUUGGUACAUCUGGGAGAGUGUUUGAUAUGUUAAACAGAAGAUAUCUUUCUCCAAAAUGGAUCAAAAUGUUUGUUUUGGACGAAGCAGAUGAAAUGUUGAGUCGUGGGUUUAAGGAUCAAAUCUAUGAGAUUUUCCAAAAACUAAAUACAAGUAUUCAGGUUGUGUUGCUUUCUGCCACAAUGCCAACUGAUGUGUUGGAAGUGACCAAAAAAUUCAUGAGAGAUCCCAUUCGAAUUCUGGUGAAAAAGGAAGAAUUGACCCUUGAAGGAAUCAAACAGUUUUAUAUUAAUGUUGAGAGAGAGGAAUGGAAGUUGGAUACACUUUGUGACUUGUAUGAGACACUGACCAUUAUGCAGGCUGUUAUUUUUCUCAAUACAAGGCGCAAGGUGGACUGGCUGACUGAGAAAAUGCAUGCCACAGACUUCAGUUUCUGCUCUGCAUGGUGACAUAGACCAGAAGGAGAGAGAUGUUAUCAUGAGGGAAUUCCAAUUGGGGUCAAGCCGUGUUCUGAUAACUACUGACUUGUUGGCUCGUGGGAUUGAUGUGCAACAAGUGUCUUUGGUUAUAAAUUAUGAUCUACCUACCAAUCGUGAAAACUAUAUUCACAGAAUUGGCAGAGGGGGUUGAUUUGGGAAGAAAGGUGUGGCUAUAAACUUUGUUACCGAAGACGACAAGAGGAUUCUUCGUGACAUUGAGACUUUCUACAAUACUACAGUGGAGGAGAUGCCCAUGAAUGUGGCUGAUCUUUAAUUCCUGGGAUGAGAGUUUUGGAUGCAGUGCUCGCUGUUGCUGAAUAGGCGAUCACAACGUGCAUUGUGCUUCUUCUUCUUUUUUUUUUUUUUUUUGAGACA